rnacentral:rRNA from 1 species
CUCGUAGGCGGCCAACUAAGUCAGACGUGAAAUCCCUCAGCUUAACUGGGGAACUGCGUCUGAUACUGGAUGGCUUGGAUUUGGGAGAGGGAUGCGGAAUUCCAGGUGUAGCGGUGAAAUGCGUAGACAUCUGGAGGAACACCGGUGGCGAAGGCGGCAUCCUGGACCAAUAUUGACGCUGAGGAGCGAAAGCUAGGGGAGACGAACG